UACGUAGGGGGCAAGCGUUAUCCGGAUUUACUGGGUGUAAAGGGAGCGUAGACGGUAAUGUAAGUCUGAUGUGAAAGCCCGGGGCUCAGCCCCGGGACUGCAUUGGAAACUAUGUAACUAGAGUACCGGAGAGGUAAGCGGAAUUCCUAGUGUAGCGGUGAAAUGCGUAGAUAUUAGGAGGAACACCAGUGGCGAAGGCGGCUUACUGGACGGAAACUGACGUUGAGGCUCGAAAGCGUGGGGAGCAAACAGG
rnacentral:rRNA from 1 species